rnacentral:rRNA from 1 species
AGAGUUUGAUCAUGGCUCAGAAUCAACGCUGGCGGCGUGCCUAACACAUGCAAGUCGAACGAGAAAGGGUAGCAAUACCUGAGUAAAGUGGCGCACGGGUGAGUAACACGUGACUAACCUACCCUGGAGUGGGGGAUAACUGAGGGAAACCUUAGCUAAUACCGCAUAAUACCCACGGGUCAAAGGAGCAAUUCGCUUCAGGAGGGGGUCGCGGCCGAUUAGUUAGUUGGCGGGGUAAUGGCCCACCAAGACGAUGAUCGGUAUCCGGCCUGAGAGGGCGCACGGACACACUGGAACUGAAACACGGUCCAGACUCCUACGGGAGGCAGCAGUGGGGAAUUUUGCGCAAUGGGGGAAACCCUGACGCAGCAACGCCGCGUGGAGGAUGAAGUCCUUCGGGACGUAAACUCCUUUCGAUCGGGACGAUUAUGACGGUACCGGAAGAAGAAGCCCCGGCUAACUUCGUGCCAGCAGCCGCGGUAAUACGAGGGGGGCGAGCGUUGUUCGGAAUUAUUGGGCGUAAAGGGUGCGUAGGCGGUUUGGUAAGUCUCGUGUGAAAUCUACAGGCUCAACUUGUAGUCUGCACGAGAAACUGCCGGGCUUGAGUAUGGGAGAGGUGAGUGGAAUUCCUGGUGUAGCGGUGAAAUGCGUAGAUAUCAGGAGGAACACCUGUGGCGAAAGCGGCUCACUGGACCAUAACUGACGCUGAUGCACGAAAGCUAGGGGAGCAAACAGGAUUAGAUACCCCUGUAGUCC